CUCCUGCUGUAGUCUGUGUGUUGUCAUGGAGAAGUUGUUCCUCAGCUGAUCAUCAGUUAUUGGUCGUUUGUCCAUCAGGGGGUCGUUCCUGACUAAGAAGCAGGACCAGGCAGCCAGGAAGAUCAUGAGGUUCCUGCGGCGCUGCAGACACAGGAUUAAGGAGCUGAAACAGACGAGGGAGCUGGAGAGGAGAGGACUGACCACAUAGAGCCUCUAGAGAGAGACGACAGGAGGACAGAGGGAUGCAGGAGGGACAGAGGACAGACAGGGGAUGAUGGACAGAUGGACUCAGAGAUGUCUCUCCUUCCUCCAACUCAUAAUCCCUCUGUGGACUGUUUGUCUGCAGCUUGAUAAGCUCCGCCCACUAAGUUGGUGCUCCUCCUCCUCCUCCAAGAGGUGAAUCCAUCUGCUCUCUGACUGUAGAACCAGGACCACCUGCUGGCUGGAGGCUCUCAGAGAGCAGAUGGUCCAUCAGAUUAACUCCUGGCUCCACGUCUGGAUUCCUUUAGUGACGUUUCUAAUGACAGGCUGCUGAGCUCCAAUCAGAGUUCCAGGAAAAAUCUGCAUGGCUCCACCAGGCCUCCCAGUCUGUCUGGAUCAGUGAGAGGCUGGGAGGCUGAGCAGACCAGCUCAGAUCCAGACAGAACCAACGGUCUGAAUGUUUCAGUGGAGCUCAGAGAUCUUCUCUAUGGAUCAAGAAGUGGAGAAACACGGAGAAGCAGAGAUGUUCUGAGGAUGGACACCUUGGAUCUAUUGCAGCAUGAACUGUUGUCAGCGUGGGAAGGGUUGUUUGUUUGUGUGUUUGCAGCACUGACUGAAGUCUUAACCCCCUCCUCAGUUGGACCUGAAAUCUAAAUGUUCCUUUCCUCAGCUUUGCAGGAGUUUGUGUCUGAAAACCCUGAGAUAUUUGGUUCUGACAAUAAAUCAGCCGUUUACUCUUCAUCUGUUUAUUUCUAAAGCAGAAAUGAACAAUACAUGCUUUACACAGACUGUUUA